rnacentral:lncRNA from 1 species
ACUAUGUGAAACUGCUGAACUGGGCAUUUCUAAAGCUUCUAGCUGUGGCCUUUCUGCAUGGAGAGUCCUCUCAGGCUCACCGUAUUAUAAGCAAGUUACUAAUGGUGGAGACAGGGUCACCGAGGUGCCAAAGACACUGGGAUUAUUAAAGCUGUUAAGUGUCAAGUUUUACACUCGGCAGGGACAAGAACAGGAUGGAAUCUUCAAGAUGAGCCUUUCUCCUGACGGGAGCCUCCUUGCGGCAAUUCACUUCUCAGGGAAGUUGAGCAUCUGGGCUAUUCCGUCUCUGAAGCAGCAAGGCGUCUGGCGGCAAGAUGAGCAGCCAGGCUAUGAUGAGCUUAAUCCUGAUUGGACAUUGUCUCCUGAGAAGAGAAAGAAAGUAAAAGGUGAGUAGGGUAUAAGAAAUAUGAUUAUUACAGCUUUACAGGGG